GCAUGUUUAUGGUCCUUGCAGUGUAGUUGCCCCUAGAGAGGCACAAAAUGCUCUAAACUAACAAACAACAUCCAUGCAAUUCCACUGCUUUCCUCCCAUAUUUGAACAAUUGAAUGCUGCAGUGCAAGAAGAUCUAGUGGAUGAGCCUCUAAGGUGAGCCCUAACCUAUUAUACUGCAGAAGGGUGUCACAGAGUCCACAGCCAGGAGAAGGCUAUGAAUGUUUUCUAAUAUGUUGAUCCAUUCAGGAGAAAGGUUCUGAUUAACUGAAGCAACAGAUGUAGUGUAAAGGUAAAGCAACAAGAGGUAUUUUAUUUAAGGAAGAAUAUCAGAAAGAAGCAUACAUGCCAUGGAAGAAAGAAAUCAGAUACGGUGGAAGAAAAGGAGAUAAUAAGGAAGAACUCUGACACUAAAAACAAACCUGCAGAAAACCUGCUAGCAAUUGUCUUAUUUAUAUAAAUAGCAUAUGGCUGCCUCUAUCCAUUGGUCCUACGGAGGUAGAU